rnacentral:rRNA from 1 species
CACGCCGUAAACGAUGAGUACUAGGUGUAGGGGGUAUCGACCCCCCCUGUGCCGCAGUAAACACAAUAAGUACUCCGCCUGGGAAGUACGAUCGCAAGAUUAAAACUCAAAGGAAUUGACGGGGACCCGCACAAGCAGCGGAGCAUGUGGUUUAAUUCGACGCAACGCGAAGAACCUUACCAAGGCUUGACAUUGAGUGAAAGGCUAAGAGAUUAGCCCCUCUCUUCGGAGACACGAAAACAGGUGG